rnacentral:pre_miRNA from 1 species
CCUGCAUUGUACACACUGUGUGUGCACCUCAGACUUGCACAGCGCAUACAAUGUGGAUG